rnacentral:rRNA from 1 species
AUUGAACGCUGGCGGCAGGCCUAACACAUGCAAGUCGAACGAGUGGCGGACGGGUGAGUACUGUCUGGGAAACUGCCCGAUGGGGGGGGAUAACUACUGGAAACGGUAGCUAAUACCGCAUACCAUCGGGUGUGCCCAGAUGGGAUUAGCUUGUGGGUGGGGUAACGGCCGACCUAGGCGACGAUCCCUAGCUGGUCUGAGAGGAUGACCAGCCACACGGGAACUGAGACACGGUCCAGACUCCUACGGGAGGCAGCAGUGGGGAAUAUUGGACAAUGGGCGAAAGCCUGAUGCAGCCAUGCCGCGUGUGUGAAGAAGGUCUUCGGAUUGUAAAGCACUUUAAGUGGGGAGGCGUUACCAACAGAAUAAGCACCGGCUAACUUCGUGCCAGCAGCCGCGGUAAUUC